rnacentral:lncRNA from 1 species
AUGGGUGGUAGAGAGAGGUAUAACAUUCCAGCCCCUCAAUCUAGAAAUGUUAGUAAGAACCAACAACAGCUUAACAGACAGAAGACCAAGGAACAGAAUUCCCAGAUGAAGAUUGUUCAUAAGAAAAAAGAAAGAGGACAUGGUUAUAACUCAUCAGCAGGUGCCUGGCAGGCCAUGAAAAAUGGGGGGAAGAACAAAAAUUUUCCAAAUAAUCAAAGUUGGAAUUCUAGCUUAUCAGGUCCCAGCUUACUUUUUAAAUCUCAAGCUAAACAGAACUAUGCUGGUGCCAAAUUUAGUGAGCCGCCAUCACCAAGUGUUCUUCCCAAACCACCAAGCCACUGGGUCCCUGUUUCCUUUAAUCCUUCAGAUAAGGAAAUAAUGACAUUUCAACUUAAAACCUUACUUAAAGUACAGGUAUAA